GGAUGGGAGGGCUGCUGGUGGUCCGCCAGCCCCGGGAGGAACAGGAGGAGGGGCACGUGCAUGUGUGUGGGCAGAGAGGUCUUCCGUGGUGGUGGUUAUAUAUGCACACUGAGAGGCAUGUCGUUUGGAAAAGACUGGUGAUGGUGACUUUCAUAACUUCCAGCUUGCAAACUUCUGACAAGACGUGUCCUUUGCCAGUCAAGGUCAUUUUAAAAAUGCACAUGCUUUCCUUUUUGCCGAGCCUGACGACGUCGGUUGAGGCACUGCACGGCGUGCCCGGCACUCCUGCCUGACCCGGUGACUUCUCUGUGCAAAGAGGACAUGGGGAGGAUGGUUGAGAUGCACCAGACGGCCUCAUUAUGGCAAUGUGUUUCUAAGAUCAGUGUUAGGCGGAUUUGAUGACAUUUAGAAUUUAAUUAAAAUGUGGG
ensembl:lncRNA